UCAGAGAUUUACUUUAUAAACAAUACAAAUUACAAAGUCGAAUUAAAAGUUUUCCCAAACAUAACAUGGUACUAUUCUCGUCAGAUAAAACUGUAUCUAUGUAAAAAUUCUAUUGUAAUCGCAGAGAAACAACUCAACUUAUAUAACGUUAUUAGUGUAUUCAUUAAACAGACUGCCUCUACUUGAAAACCUAAGCGAGAACAAACAACUCUUUGCAUAAACCUCGUGGUAUUCACAAGGGAAGAAAAGGCUUUCUAUAAAACCAUGUUAAAUGUGAUUCCUCUUAUGGACAAUACUACAAGACUAAAGAAUACAGAAACUGAGUAAUAAAAAUAAUAAUAAUAGAUCUUUUUUAACGUUUCGGAGUCUUCCCUUUCUCGCGCUAUUUCGACAUCAACACCCAAACUCCUUGAAAGACGCCUCAACAUGGCGUCUAUCCUGGUUUUGAAAGCCUUCCUUACAGUUAAACAAUCUACAAAAUGAGGAAGGAAUUGGAUUUUAAGACAUAUAGCUGCUGUUGCUGUGAAAUCGUGAAUUAUUCUUGUAGUGAAGUGGAUUUUUUUUCGCUUGUGAAGGAAGAUGAUCGUUUGCAAGGUCAGCGGAGACGCACUGAGCUAAAUGUUCAACAUCGUCCGCUGACCUCGUGCGAGCGGAAAAAAAACCUGCAAAACAGCACAAGUCCACGAAACAACCGGCUAAACUAGACAUCUUCUUCACUGCUCAACCCUUCUACCAAUUUAUUUUCGAGAUAACGCCCUGAGGACGACACAAGAGGAUUUUGGCGCAAUUUCUUGUCUGUUUCGACCGUUGAGAGUUGAGACAAACCGAAGCGAGCGAAGCCAUGGAGUUGAUUUGGACCAAACACUGAGAGCGUCUCUACCCAUGGGAGAGUGGAGUGAGUUGAGUGUUCUGAGCCGGAAUACUCAAGAGCUGCAAACAGCAAGUGAA